UACGUAGGUGGCAAGCGUUGUCCGGAUUUAUUGGGUUUAAAGGGUGCGUAGGCGGCUUAUUAAGUCAGUGGUGAAAUACUCUAGCUCAACUAGAGGGGUGCCAUUGAUACUGAUGAGCUUGAGUACAGAUGAGGUAGGCGGAAUUGACGGUGUAGCGGUGAAAUGCUUAGAUAUCGUCAAGAACACCUAUAGCGAAGGCAGCUUACUAGGCUGUAACUGACGCUGAGGCACGAAAGUGUGGGGAGCAAAAGGG
rnacentral:rRNA from 1 species